rnacentral:rRNA from 1 species
UACGUAGGGUCCGAGCGUUGUCCGGAAUUACUGGGCGUAAAGAGCUCGUAGGUGGUUGUCGCGUUGUUCGUGAAAACUCACAGCUCAACUGUGGGCGUGCGGGCGAUACGGGCAGACUAGAGUACUGUAGGGGAGACUGGAAUUCCUGGUGUAGCGGUGGAAUGCGCAGAUAUCAGGAGGAACACCGGUGGCGAAGGCGGGUCUCUGGGCAGUAACUGACGCUGAGGAGCGAAAGCGUGGGGAGCGAACAGG